CAGGAAAAACUCAGCCGCUAUCAGGACCUCAAGAUUGAACUUCAAAGACUCUGGCAGAAACCAGUGCAGGUGGUCCCGGUGGUGAUGGUCACACUGGGUGCUGUGCCAAAAGAUCUCAGCCGGCAUUUGGAAACAAUAGACAUUGACAAAAUCACGAUCUGCCAACUGCAAAAGGCCACCCUACUGGGAUCUGCACGCAUCAUCCGAAAAUACAUCACACAGUCCUAGACACUUGGGAAGUGUUCGACUUGUGAUUUUGUGAUAUGAAAUCCAGCAUAUCUAUCUUGUUUGCUGUGUCAUACAACGUCGUUGUGUCAAUAUAAUAAUAAUAAUAAUAAUAAUAAUAAUAAUAAUAAUAUGUGUUACCUUACAACCUCUGAGGAUGCCUGCCUGCCAUAGAUGUGGGCGAUAUGUCAGGAGAAAAUAUUUCUAGAACAUGGCCAUACAGCCCGGAAAACAUACAACAACCCUAUAAUAAUAAUAAUAAUAAUAAUAAUAAUAAUAAUAAUAAUAAUAAUAAGAAGAAGAAGAAGAAGAAGAAGAAGAAGAAUAAAAACCUUUAUUUCUAGACCUCCCUCUCUCCCCAGAGAGACUCAGGGUGGUUAACAUACAUAUAAAUGGCAAGCAUUCAAUCCCACAACUACUUCACUUAAUAUCAAAAGUAUAAAACGACAAUUAUUAUAAAAAUUCCAAGUUAGAAAAAACAAUAGAUUUAAACAUGACACUCAGUAAAAACAUUAUUGCACAGACCGAAUUAAAUGACCAAGUUGCAGAAAAUGUUCAGUAUUUGUUGUAGUUUCACUUAGACCAUAGCUGCUAUGGGGUGACAAUUAUGUUAAUCCUUCUCCUCUCCGUACACUAAGGUGCAUAGAAUUGUCUUUAACUGUUUCUUAAAGGAGAGGAGGAGGGGGUCAUUUUUAUUUCUUUAGGGAGGGAGUUCCAGAGGCGGAGGGCAAUCAUGGAGAAGGGCCCCUCUCUCGUUCCCACCAGCCGCGCUUGUGGCUCUAUUGGACUAUUGAAUUAUGGUCAUAACCUAUUUGGUAGCAGAGUUUCAGGAGUGUUCCAUUAGUUUAUUGGGUAAUGGAAGAUCACUGGGCACAUAAAUAUCUUGUUUCUAUUUGAUGCUCUCAGCAGACAAAGAUUCAAGUAGACUUGAAUUCAAGUAGUAGUAAAAUAACAUGCUUGUUUUACUCAUGGGAACCCCUGGUGGUGCAGCAGAUUAAACCACUGAGCUGCUGAACUUGCUGACGAAAAGGUUGGCGGUUUGAAUCCGGGGAGCGUGUUGAGCUCCCGCUGUUAGCCCCGGCUUCUGCCAAGCCAGCAGUUCAAAAAGAUGCAAAUGUGAGUAGAUCAAUAGGUACUGCUCCAGCGGAAAGGUAACGGCGCUCCAUGCAGUUAUGCUAGCCAGAUAACCUUGGAGGUGUCUAUGGACAACGCCAGCUCUUCAGCUUAGAAAUGAGCACCAACCCCCAGAGUCAAACAUAACUAGACUUAAUGUCAGGGGAAACCCUUUACCUUUGCCUUUACCCAUAAUUUCAUGUAUUUAAAUAUACAGAUACCUUUCUUGUCAGGCUAAACUUUAAAAUGUUUCAACUUGUAUCUUUAACUUAUAAUCUUUAACAGUCUGUUCAAAACUAUAUUGCUUUGUACAGCUCUCUUUAAUAACAGCCUACUUCCAAGGAACUCAAGCCUCAACAGACUUCUGACUUCUAAAACUGGCUACUGUACUCAAACAGACACAAGCCUCAACUGACUUCUGACUUUUAACACUGGCUUCUGUACUCAAACAAACUCAAGCCUCAACUGUCAUUCCCCAACUAUCAUCCUUUUUAAAAUGCAUCCUAAACAGUCACAUGACCACCAGCCCCUCCUACUGCUUCAAGUACAUAGAGCUAAGAAAACUGCAAACCAAAGAAGUCAUACACUUCAGGAAAUAAACAGACACAUUAUGAAACAGAUAAAACAUUAAAUAGAGGAAGCUUGAGAAGGUUGCUGUCUCCAACAUCAUCAGAUAUUUUGUUUCCAAUUUUGCUCUUCGUGUGCGUCAUCCUUGAAAAUAGUUGCUCACAAAUGUUGAUAUUGCCAAAAAAACGAUGGCAUGAACAAGACAAGGUUGCUAAGCGAAGAAUAUUUGUCUCUAGGAGAUUCAAAGCGGUGUCCUGGAAGAUUAAACUCCAUGAUCAACUUAGAGUAGCAGUGACACAGGUACAAUAUAUAAGUUUUCCAAGUGCUGAUGAGAGCAAUGACACCAGUGUCCAAUCUGGAGAGUAGAACCUGGUCCUUCUGCCAAGGCUGCCCUGAACUCAUAGGAUAACACAAAGUUUCCAGCAAACUCCAGAGUGCUCCUCAACUUUGCUAAACAUGGGGUACAGUCAGUUUAAGCUGAAAACUCAAGAAAUACUUACAGAAGCUACUGUGUGCAUGAAGACAGCCAGUGGUAUAUUCAUGAAUAUUAUCCCUUUCUCACUCUUAAAAGGAUACCAAAAUGAAAAUAUCACCAUCCAUGGAAAUAUCAUACAAAUUCAAGAUAUCUCUUUUCAAAUACUAAGAGGUUACCCAGUGCCUUCCUGAUCAGUUUCUAGGUAUUUUAUUCUGUUCUUUUGCACAUGUGCAUCUCUUACAAAUUAUUUCAUGCCUAGAUAUUAGAACAAAAUAGGUAUAUGAUAAUGUGAGAUUCCAGGUAUUUUCUAUUAUAUGCUUCAACUCAAAGCAUUUAUGUCAUAAUAGUCCUCAACUCUCAAAAAUUAACAUCACAUGUGAGCUAUAAGAUGAAGUACUAUUAUUGUACUAUAUACAUAAUUAUGUGUGACAGUAAUAAUAGAAAGCUAUUUGGUCUGAAUAAACUGAAUGGUCUGCAUAAACCUAAAUUUGGUUUAUUGAGAUCACUCCCAGAGAUUUCUUUUUCUUAUGACUUAUAAUAAUAUUCCCACUGGGUCUUUUCAAUACUGUGUCUUCCAAUAUACAUAUUUGGAAUAAUAUUCUGCUGAGGGGGUGCAGUGCAUUCUGCUUAAACUGUUAGAUAAAACAAGCCAUAUAGGUGUAUUCUUUAUUAUUACAAAAGCACAAUGGCAUUGUGAAUACCUGCAAAAAUAGUUAUUCAAGUGUACCUUUUCAUAUUUCUCUUUCAGUUUGGAAGCCUUUUUCUCAAAGGGUAUCUUAUCAUCUUGAGAAGUAUUAUUCCACAUCUCUCCAAGUUUCUUUGCAACAUCUCCAAUAGAAAGACCAGGAUGUUCUCCUUUGAUUUUUGGACGAUACUCAGAACAGAACAAGAAAAA